AGCGAACGCUGGCGGCAGGCCUAACACAUGCAAGUCGAACGAAGUCUUCGGACUUAGUGGCGGACGGGUGUGUAACACGUGGGAACGUACCUUUUGGUUCGGAACAACUCAGGGAAACUUGAGCUAAUACCGGAUGAGCCCUUAGGGGGAAAGAUUUAUCGCCGAAAGAGCGGCCCGCGUUAGAUUAGCUAGUUGGUGAGGUAAAGGCUCACCAAGGCUACGAUCUAUAGCUGGUCUGAGAGGUUGAUCAGCCACACUGGGACUGAGACACGGCCCAGACUCCUACGGGAGGCAGCAGUGGGGAAUCUUGCGCAAUGGGCGAAAGCCUGACGCAGCCAUGCCGCGUGAAUGAUGAAGGUCUUAGGAUUGUAAAAUUCUUUUACCAGGGACGAUAAUGACGGUACCUGGAGAAAAAGCCCCGGCUAACUUCGUGCCAGCCGCCGCGGUAAUAC
rnacentral:rRNA from 1 species